GCUCAGAAGGACGCUGGCGGCGCGCUCCACACAUGCAAGGAAAGCGAGAACCAGGCCUUCGGGCCUGGGGACAGCGGCGAACGGGCCAGUAACACGUGGGUAAUCAACCCUCGACACUGGGAUAGCCCGGGGAAACCCGGAUUAAUACCGGAUGGCCCUCUGGAUCCUCGGAUCUGGCGGGAAAGGUAGCUUCGGCCUCCGGUCGAGGACGAGCCCGCGGCGGAUUAGCUUGUUGGUGAGGUAACGGCUCACCAAGGCGACGAUCGGUAGCUGGUCUGAGAGGAUGACCAGCCUCACUGGGACUGAGACGCGGCCCAGACUCCUACGGGAGGCAGCAGUGGG
rnacentral:rRNA from 1 species